rnacentral:rRNA from 1 species
GACGAACGCUGGCGGCGUGCUUAACACAUGCAAGUCGAACGGAAAGGCCCUGCUUUUGUUGCUUUCUCGAUUGGCGAACGGGUGAGUAACACGUGAGUAACCUGCCCUUGACUUUGUGGGAACUUCAGGAAACUGGGGCUAAUACCGCAUAGGAUCUCCUGCUGCGUGUUGGUGGUUGGAAAGUUUCGGCGGUUGGGGCUGGAUUGGCUGCUUAUGCGCUUGUUGAGCGGGUAGUGGCUUACCAAGGCUUUGACGGGUAGCCGGCCUGAGAGGGUGACCGGGGUCAUGGGGACUGAGAUACGGACCAGAAUCGUACGGGCGGCAGCAGUGGGGAAUAUUGCACAAUGGGCGGACGCCUGAUGCAGCAACGCUGGGUGCGGGAUGACGGCCUUCGGGUUGUAAACAGAUUUCGCAUGUGACGAAGAGUGAGUGACGGUAAUGGGUAAAGAAGCAACGGCUAACUACGUG